CACCGGUUGGCGCCGAAUCCCGAACGUCGGGAACCGGGGAACCACCUCCGUUGGGGUGAAUCCGGCCACGCGCCGGUAGGGCAUCUCCACGCCCGAACCCGUCAGCUAACCCGGUAGGCGUGAUGGAGAGGACAA
rnacentral:sRNA from 2 species